rnacentral:pre_miRNA from 1 species
AAUAAGUUCAUUUAAGUUUUUGGGUACCGUGUUUGACUCUUUGUCUUAUUUAAAAAAUUUGUGAGUAAUAUUUUUAUUAUUACUAGAUAAUAACACAUGAAUAGUAUUUUACGCGUGACUUUUUUUUAAGUUUUUCUAUAAAUUUUUUAAAUAAGACAAAUGAUCAAAUGACAAAAAAAUAAAAAAAUAAACUUAUU